CCUACGGGGGGCAGCAGUGGGGAAUAUUGGACAAUGGGGGGAACCCUGAUCCAGCCAUGCCGCGUGUGUGAAGAAGGCCCUCGGGUUGUAAAGCACUUUCAGUGAGGAAGAACGCCUGGUGGUUAAUACCCAUCAGGAAAGACAUCACUCACAGAAGAAGCACCGGCUAACUCCGUACCAGCAGCCGCGGUAAUACGGAGGGUGCGAGCGUUAAUCGGAAUUACUGGGCGUAAAGCGCGCGUAGGUGGCUUGAUAAGCCGGUUGUGAAAGCCCCGGGCUCAACCUGGGAACGGCAUCCGGAACUGUCAAGCUAGAGUGCAGGAGAGGAAGGUAGAAUUCCCGGUGUAGCGGUGAAAUGCGUAGAGAUCGGGAGGAAUACCAGUGGCGAAGGCGGCCUUCUGGACUGACACUGACACUGAGGUGCGAAAGCGUGGGUAGCAAACAGGAUUAGAUACCCUGGUAGUC
rnacentral:rRNA from 1 species